rnacentral:lncRNA from 1 species
CCCCUUGGAUCCACCUAUAUGCUUUUAUGUCACUCCAAAGUCUUGAUCAAGUCAUUGAAUGGGAAUCCUCAAUUUUCAGGGCCCUGGUUGAAAAAGCUGACACCAACUCAACCAACUCCAUCGACGCAGCUGCCAUCGAGGACAAACUCGAACCGAUAAAACACCUCUCGGACGAGGACCUAAUCCACAUCCCAAAAUCCCCGCUUCUGAUCUCGGCCAUCGACUCCCUGAACCAGGCCGCCUCCUCCCUCCAUGAAAUCCACGCCCGACCCUCCUCCCACCCCUACCAUGGCCGCAACGCCUCCGACUUCUACAUCUUCAUCCCCGACAAGAUCCUCGUCCGCCGCGAGGUCGAUGGCAAAACCGUCACCGAGGAGAUCCAUACCGGGAUGGAUACCACCCGAUCGAUCGCCAAAAGAAGUGUUGAAUCAUCAGCGUCGACAUCGUCUUAUGCUCGGGGGAAGAUCGACCUGCCGCCCGACUCGCCGCUCCACAAGACGGACUUGGAGUUCCUCCUCGACCAGGACGAUCCCCAUUUCCGGCGGAAACGGCAGCUGACCGGGACCAACGGGCAGUACGUCACCGUUCAGCAAGAGGGAAACGGAGGGCCGCCGCAGACCCUGACCUAUAACAAUCAGCAGAACGCACCCCCGCCGCCGCAACAGGAGGGAUUCUACGAGAAGAUUGCGCCGAAGAUUCAGGACUUUACGCAAAAUCUUGCGUCGCAGUGGGCCAACUAUGCGAGUAAUCAACAACCCUUACAGCCGGUUCUCAACUCCCUCCCGCAGCCCAGCGGACAGCCCUACGUGCUGAACGUCCCCGCCGACUACACCAAGCAGACCUACCGCUACCCCCUCAACGAUCCCCCACCCCAAGGUGGUCCACAAGGGGUCCCUCAAGGGUUCCUCAAGUGGUCCCCCAAGGCGAGUACGCAGCCCCGCAGAAUCAACAGUUCCAAGCCGCGCCCCCCGUCAACGGCCAAUACAACCAAGCAUACGUCCCACCGCAAGUCAACUACCAACUAAACAACCAACCCUACAACCUCGUCCCGAACCAGCAAUACCCAACCCAGUAUCCCGCCGCCCCGAUGAACAUCGAAAUCAACGGCGCCCCCGCGGGACCGGACCCCCAAUACAACCAAUACCCCCUCCCGAAGAGGAACAAUACCAGAACAACAACCAACAGGUGGUUCUUCCCCAGGGCUACGGCCAGUACAACGGACCCCCGAUCCAAACAAACCAAGCCGUGACCGAACCAACAUUCAACAUCCCCCCGUCGAUCCCCACCUCGUACACCGGCCCCGUCAACAUCCCCGACAUGCCCCUACCGGCAACCCUAUCAUCCCUCCGGCGGCCUACCCCACCGCUACCCCUAACACCCCACCCAUGAACUAUAACAACCUCAACGGGCCCAUCAACGAGCACCUCAACAGCAUCGAUUCCCCGGGGGUGAACCAGCUCAGCGUGCAGCACUUUAACCACCCGUACGGCGUGAACAUCGCACCCUAUGUCAAGGUCGUCCCGCAGGAAGUCGACCCGAACCAGUAUAACCUCUUCAACAGACCUACCGGGAAACAGACCGGCCCCAGUAGUCCUAAACCACUACCCACCGAUUCCGAGUAUUACACCAACUACUACGGCGAUCCCUACGAUCCGUUGGAUACGAACGCGUUGAAGAAGCAGAGGAUGUACCAAGAGCCGGAUGUCAACAGGCAUACUCCGGGAUAUCAGGGUGGGCGUCGGCCGUAUGAUAUCGUCCAGACGGGUCAAAGUAGAUACCUACCCCCUGGGAAUUUGCCACCUGGGCCGAUACCGUAUGCCUCGGCGCCGGUCCCUGCGGACAGCGGUCAGCAACCCUCUUCUCCAGCUCCCACUGUAGUUUCGUCUCCGUCCCCGCCACCACCUUCGCCAUCUUUGCCCCCUCCAUCUCCGUCUAGCGAACCAAGAACUAGAAUAAUUUACUACGAUGACAAAAUAACGGCGUGAUAAUGUUUUGACGCAGGCAGUGGCGGUUCCCCAGAGUUGACAAUACUGUUUUUUCUCAAUUUAAAUGUAUGUAAAACAAUCUAUUCAUGAUGAGAGAGCUCGUUUACCCUAAAAGCGAUAUUUUUAAUGGAUUUAAAUGGAGGAGAAACAGUGUUGCCAACUUGUGAAAUCGCCGCUGGGGGUAGGGUUUAAUUUUGUCGUUCGGCUGAUAAAGGGACCAAACUCCUCUUUGAGACGAACUCGGGGGAGCGUUGAGUUAAAUGAAGAACAGGGGUUAUUACAAAGUACAGUUACGUCCUUUUGUCAGGAGGGCAAUGAUUUGUCUUCAUUCAGGUCAGCAAUGUCUUGAUAAAGAAAAACGCUGAAGGGCAUUCUAAUAUGGCCAAAUAUUUUCUCUCCUUGAAAUUUGUUUUAAAGUAAAGUUGUGAAUAAUAUUCCUGGAAAUUUUCAGAAACACUGAAGUUCAAAUUGUGAAUAGAAUUCACUAGAAAACUUAAAUAGGAAGAUUCACACGUAUUCCGAAAAAUUCAAUUUUUAUCGGAAGAUUAUUGGCAACGUUAAACUGCUCGCAUGGUGUCACGCAGAUUUGUAUUUACACGACUUCAUUGAACAUUUUCCUCUCGAUUGAAAAUUGUCGUUUGUAUCUUUUUAUAAAUGUAAAAAAUACAUUUUAUUUCAACUGCCAAGUAUAAUUUAAAAAUUAAAUCCACAGUUCUCAAAAUAGAGUAAUUUAUUCAAUGAUUGAGCUAACUACUGCCCCAUUUAACAGCCAAUAACCGGUCACAACAUAGUCAAUGCUGCUUUUCAUAUUUUGCAAGUAAAUAUAGUGAAAUUAGUUGUAUUAUGUUAAAUUUUAUGUAAAGUUGUAAAUAAAUAGAAAAAUGUUCCGCCUUUAUUUAUUUUCGAGAGUCGACCUCCAUUAGACGGCAUGCAGGCAAUCUACACACAGCUGUUUUUCAGACGAUAUUUUUGAUUAUUCUGGAA